rnacentral:rRNA from 1 species
AUUCGAUUAGAGUUUGAUCAUGGCUCAGAACGUACGCUGGCGGCACGCCUAACACAUGCAAGUCGAACGAAGUAGCAAUACUUAGUGGCAGACGGGUGAGUAACAUGUAGGUAUCUACCCUUUGGCCUGGAAUAACACGAGGAAACUUGUGCUAAUACCGGAUAAGUCUUUACGGAGAAAGCUUUAUGCACCAUUGGAUGAGCCUGCAUUUGAUUAGUUUGUUGGUGGGGUAAUGGCCUACCAAGACUGUGAUCAAUAGCUGAUUUGAGAGGAUGAUCAGCCACAUUGGGACUGAGACACGGCCCAAACUCCUACGGGAGGCAGCAGUGGGGAAUCUUGCACAAUGGAGGAAACUCUGAUGCAGCGAUGCCGCGUGAGUGAAGAAGGCCUUUGGGUUGUAAAGCUCUUUCGUCGGGGAAGAAAAUGACUGUACCCGAAUAAGAAGGUCCGGCUAACUUCGUGCCAGCAGCCGCGGUAAUACGAAGGGACCUAGCGUAGUUCGGAAUUACUGGGCUUAAAGAGUUCGUAGGUGGUUGAAAAAGUUAGUGGUGAAAUCCCAGAGCUUAACUCUGGAACUGCCAUUAAAACUUUUCAGCUAGAGUAUGAUAGAGGAAAGCAGAAUUUCUAGUGUAGAGGUGAAAUUCGUAGAUAUUAGAAAGAAUACCAAUUGCGAAGGCAGCUUUCUGGAUCAUUACUGACACUGAGGAACGAAAGCAUGGGUAGCGAAGAGGAUUAGAUACCCUCGUAGUCCAUGCCGUAAACGAUGUGUGUUAGACGUUGGAAAUUUAUUUUCAGUGUCGCAGCGAAAGCGAUAAACACACCGCCUGGGGAGUACGACCGCAAGGUUAAAACUCAAAUGAAUUGACGGGGACCCGCACAAGUAGUGGAGCAUGUGGUUUAAUUCGAAGAUACGCGCAGAACCUUACCAACACUUGACAUGUUCGUCGCGACUCUAAGAGAUUAGAGUUUUCGGUUCGGCCGGACGAAACACAGGUGCUGCAUGGCUGUCGUCAGCUCGUGUCGUGAGAUGUUGGGUUAAGUCCCGCAACGAGCGCAACCCUCACUUUUACUUGCCAUCAUUAAGUUGGGCACUCUGAAAGAACUGCCAGUGAUAAGCUGGAGGAAGGUGGGGAUGACGUCAAAUCAUCACGGCCCUUACGUCCUGGGCUACACACGUGCUACAAUGGUCGGUACAGAGAGCAGCCACUACGCGAGUAGGAGCGAAUCUUCAAAACCGAUCUCAGUUCGGAUCGCAGUCUGCAACUCGACUGCGUGAAGCUGGAAUCGCUAGUAAUCGCAUAUCAGCCAUGAUGCGGUGAAUACGUUCCCGGGCCUUGUAGA